rnacentral:rRNA from 1 species
UACGUAGGGGGCUAGCGUUGUCCGGAAUCAUUGGGCGUAAAGCGCGUGCAGGCGGUUCGGUAAGUCCGCUGUGAAAGUCGGGGGCUCAACCCUCGAAUGCCGGUGGAUACUGUCGGACUAGAGUACGGAAGAGGCGAGUGGAAUUCCUGGUGUAGCGGUGAAAUGCGCAGAUAUCAGGAGGAACACCAAUUGCGAAGGCAGCUCGCUGGGACGUUACUGACGCUGAGACGCGAAAGCGUGGGGAGCAAACAGG